AAAAUUUGGUGUUAAAUUUAAUUAGCGUGCUGGACUUCGAUUUUUCCCUAUAACGUAGUUAUUCGUUUCAAAUUAUUAUUUAGUAUUUGCGAUUUACCAAAUAUUGGCCGUUAAAUUGUAAUUUGUUUUCGAUUAUUAUUAACCGGCGGAAUUGGUUGUACAAUUUUUCGAACGAUUUUUUUUUCGUAUUUACAAACGUUAUUUUAAAUUUAAAAAUUCCCUAUAUCGCCCGUAUUAUAUUAUUAACAAACUGGUAUUUUAAUUUAUAAUUUAAUUUUAUAAUUUUUUAAUACUAUUAUAAUUUAUUAAAAAAAAUUCCAAAACCUGUUUAGGUAUUUUAUCCGCGUUUUUAACCAAAUUGCGUAACGAAUAAAACGUAAUAAAAUUCCAAUUUAAAUAAUAUUAUUAACGUAUUAAAUCGGAAUCGAAUCGUUUUUUUAAAAUUAAAUAUAUUUUCCUAAACAUUUUGUCCCUAUUUACAUAUAUUUAGAAAUAUUUGUUUAUUUUUUUUUUAAUAUUAACGGGAAUAUUAUAUAUAUUUGAAAAAUUUUAAUUUGCAUUAUUUGGCAGAUAUUUGCGAAAUUAAAUACCGUUUCGUCCAGGAAAUUAUAUGGAUUUUUUAAAUAAUUGUUACUUUUUUUCCAAAUUUAUAUAAAAAUUUUUAACGUGGUAAACGGGAAUAUUUUGUUGGAUAUAUAUAUAGGCGGUAAAUUUUUAUACGUAAUAAUAUUUUGCGUUAUAAUUGGACGGUUAUAUAUUUGGUAAAUUUCGUACGCGUUUAAUUAUUCCCUAUAAAUAUUUACCCGUUUAUUCCAAUAUUUUUUUUUAUUAUUUUCGUUAUACGUUUAUAUAUUUCCAAAUAAUUAUUUUCCGGGAAUAAUUAAUCGGUAACGGGUGUAAUUAUAUUAUAUAUUUGGGAAAAAACAAAAUGUGGGUUCGGGUUUUUAAAAUUUUAUUUUCGGGAUUAUAUUAAUU
rnacentral:sRNA from 1 species